ensembl:lncRNA
GUCACCACCAUUAACUGUGUAUUUUCACCACCGAAGAUCAAGAGCCAGCAUGCCAUGCUCAUAAAAAUCUGCAUCAGUGGAGGUGACCCACUGUUUCACAGGUGCUAUGACAGCAUGAUUACCAGGUAGAAAUCAGAAGGCAUCAAAUCCAGACUGUGCAAUGGGUGUGGUGGGACAGUCCAGCCAAGAUGGGCAAGGUCUUCCAUGGUCUUCAAACUGAUAUGGAGCCUGGUGUUAUAAUAUUGCAGGAGAAAGGCUUUCUUCUUCUCUGGCCUGACUCUGGAAGUUUGAGCCAUCGGCUGACUAAGUUGUGAUGAGUGGUCAGAGUUAAUGGUUUCACUUUCACAGGAACCUGUCACCUUCAGCCUCAUAUUUGUUCAGUAGAUUCCGGCAAACUUGCAAACUUCUUUCUGUUCCUAUGUGAGCAUUUGUGGAACCUGGUACAAACUUUGUGAUAUUCCAAUGUUGCCAUUGUUGUUUCUAAUGCACUGAAGCUGAUAUUCAACUUCAUACGUAGUUCUCUGGUUGUAAUCUGCCAGUUCUCAUGGAUGAGCUCACCAAGACUUUCAUUUUGUGGUGUUACUGCAGUGCAUGGCUGUCCAGAAUGUGGUUUGUCUUUCACAUCACUGUUGCCACUGCUGAAAUGCACUACCCACCACCUCACUGUGCUCACAUUUGCUCUUUGGUCUCCACAAAGGUUCACCAAACAUUGAAGAAUGUCAGUGGGUGCUGUUUUUUCCACACAGAGGAAUUCAGUGACACACCUUUGCUUCAUAUGCACUUCUAUGUCAGAUGCCGUUCUGUCAGACUGCCCCUCUGCUGCCAUCUGUCACGCAGCAACAAAAUGCAAUGGAAUAUUGGUGGGAAGAUUCAACCUCUAUUGCCAUACCACCGACAUCCACCUCUGAUGUUGUGGUUCAACAUAAUAAAACAGGUGACAUUACUUUCAGAGCAACCUUUACAUAAUCAGCCACAGAACACAAAAGCUUGUGAAUAUGCUUCCUUGUGGUAAAAAUAGAAAAUCUUUUCUUAGAAUAGUCACAACCAUAAAUUUGGUCAUUUGAAUGCUCACAAAUAGCCUGAAAUCUGUCUGUUUGUCUAACUACACAAGAAGAUGCAUCACUUCCAAGAACACAUGGAACUACUUGCUGUGUGCAUGUAUGAUAAUUAUUUUCAUGUUAUAUAGUCUGUCUAACAACAGUUUGCACAGUGCCUAUGCAUAUGCCUCUCUUAAAUGACUACAUUAACUCAAUCAAUCCAAAGAUGAAAAAUCUGUUUCCUGAACUAUUCAGAUUGUUUAACCAUUCAUUUUCUUCCUUUUGAUGUGUAGCUGCAUUUCAGUGUUUAUAAGCAUAAUUCAGUGCUGUCACAAUUGAGUUUUCUGUAACUUUUUACUCAGUAGUGCAGUAAAAAGCAUACAGCUUAUGAGAUAACAGUGUUAUGUAAAUAGGUCAUAGAAUGGAAACUGUUCCCUGUUUAGAAGUGUAGUGCCACUGAAGCAGGUAAAAAUGGUUUUCAUCCAAUCUUUGUACUGAAAAUUUAUUUUAUCUCAUUUGACUGAGAUUUCUUUGCUACUCUGCUUCCAUUUAUGAAUAGUCCACUUUUUGCUGUUGAAUAACAGAAUUGCAUUAAUUCGUUAAUCAAAUUCUGUACAUGUAAAACAUUGUUUGAUCUCUAAUCUAAUGUUCUGUUUCAAGGAGUGCCCAAUAGCAGGUAAUCAGUGUAAGAUUAAAAAUAAAAAGGUUCUGUAAUAGAUUGUUUCACGUGACAAUUUCUCAGGAAGAUCAAACAUGCCAGAUGUUAAACAAAUAUCCAUUGAACUGUUUUCCUUUUGAGAACACUUAAAAGAUUAAACUGCAGAAUGUUUUACAUUUCCUGUAAUGUCAUUUGCGAUGUGUAAACUAAUGCUAGAAUCUCAAUUUGAGAUGAAUACCCAGAAGCAAAACUUUAUUGCAGUGUGUUUCAGGUCAUUGAAGGAUGAAAGAGUUAGGAAGACAUGCCUCUAGAAAUACUGUUCAAUACAAGGCAGGCCCUAUCUUGCAGGCUGUUUCCCUCAACCUGACUUGGAAGCAGUUGAGGCAAGUGAAAUAGCAGAGGAGGCAUAUGUUUGUUUCUUAAAAUUACUGCUGUGUGUAGCACUACUCUGUCCUUACCGACUUUUUCCUUUCUGUAGAUCACUUAAAUUUUAUGUAAGGAAGGGGUCUCCACCAUGAACUUUGAGUUGUGAAAAAUACAUAGCAAGACAACACAUUACGUGUUAAUUUUGAAUACACCUAGCGUAAAUAAUUGCACUUUCCUUCUCCACAUAAUGUAAUUCCUCUGUGUUCAUGUUGGAAAACUAGACAGCCACCACAGAUGUAGUGAUGCUCUGUAAUUACUGAGAAAUGUGGAUUUUCCCAGGUACUCAUUUCCCUGAAUUCUAUCACCGUAUGCCUCAUUUGGAGGCUGACUGUAUGGUUGCUUCACAAUAACUGCUAUUCAAAGACAUAAGCAAAGAAAUACACACUUAGCUUGUCAGAAGGCAUUGAAUUUCAUUGUUUUGAUAUGUUUAUUUUAGAAAAGUUGCAGCAUUAAUUGUAUUCAUUUCCUAUUAGUUUCUGGCUUUGACUCACUUCUGUGCUCAGAAUGAUUAAGAAACUUCUGGGAAGAUGUUAACACAUUCUCCUCUUCCCACAUCCCCCAAUUCAAAAUAUACAUAUAUAAGCUAAAAAAAUGCUUCAAAGCCACAAAAAAGGGAAUUUCAGGCUGCUAAAAUUUUUAAAAUAUUACCAAAAAAUACCCAUAGUGUAUCAAAAUAGUUAGGAACUGUUUGUUCAUGAGAACUAAGAGGGUCUCUUUUUUAAAUCCCUCUCACGUUGCCCAGAUGUGGUAGAGCAGGAAGAUGUAUAUUUUAAAAGGAGAAGGGACAGCUAAUCUGAAGGAGCUUAAGAGAUGCAUUGGAAGCAGAGGCUGGUGACGUUUUAGCAGGCAGUGAUGCCUGUGUGGUAGCUAGCCAAGAAGUCUGGUCCUAUGAAUUAUUGAAUGGAAUUUGGGAAUGAACUGAGAUGACACCUGGAACCUAAAGUUGACUAAGCAAGAUACUGAGACAAUGCCAAGAAAGUGGCAGAUAAAGAGCAAAGCAAAUGAAGGUUAGAACUGAGUUGCAGGGAAGAAAUGUCAUUGAUGGGACUGACAAGCCAGGCAUAUAUUGGUUAUAUGUAAUUUGUUAUAUUGUGUUGAGGGAUAUGGUUUAGUGAGAACCAUUGGUGAAGGGCAAAUGGUUGGACUGGAUGAUCCUGUGGGUCUUUUCCAACCUUAGCGAUUCUAUGAUUCUAUAAAUUUCUACUUAUUUUUCAAUCCAGAGAUAGGCUGUUCUUCUCUCCUAAGUAAUUAAUAUAUGUUUGAAGCUGAGAAAAGACUAUAAAGUAUGUGAAUUUUGAGUGAGUAUUCUAGUCAUCAUUUCAGGGAACAGGAGCACUACCCUGUAGAACUGGCAUCUAUGCAGAGCUGGAUAAACUAAGCGAUGGAAUAUGGUUCUGGCCUUUGAAUUCUCAUCUCAGGGAGCUGUCUCAUCCAGAAAGGAAAGAAUCAGACAGACUCCUUUCUUCAGCUUUUCCUAACAAAUUAUUUCCAUUCUGCAUGUUUGGUGGUGUGACACCUGCUCCAAGCUUCCUGUGGCUCCCAUUUGUACAGAAAAUGGUGGCAAAAUGGGGGGCGUAGGAAAGAUUUGGGCCUGACAUAGGCAUUUCAGUGUCAGCAGCAACAUCUCACAUGAGCCUUAGUACUUGGGUGCAAGUUUUACCUGGCAAUUCUUUGGCAGAAUUAGAGACAGAAUCCAUUUGUCCUGGGAAGCAUGUAACUCAGCUAUUGGACUGUCUUUGCUGUCCUCAACCUUUCUGGCUCUUCCCCUGUGCAUCUUUUUCUUGACAAAUAAUGACUCAUGGGGCUUUUCAUAAGACUCUUUUGCCUUUGAAUUCCUUCCACCCAAGAAAAGGAAACAGGACUAUUCUACAGCUAAAAGAUGUGGGAAGAAAAAAUUGUGUUAACUUGUAAGUGAAAUGUUAAUGUAUAGGGCCAUUUAUUACUUUUUAAAAAAAUAGCUUUGUCAUAUGAAUAAUUUUAACCUAUUUUACGCAUGUGAUGUAUAAAGCUUCUUAAUACUUACAUUAUUUUUACACAUUUACAACCUUUUCAACCUAUUCACCUGGAAAAUCUAUGGCAAACAAGUGUAUAGUACACAUGCCCUAUGAGAAUUUCUUCUGAACUAAAUUUCAUUUGGAUAUAAGAAAUUAAUUCUAUAAUAAAAUGACCUGAGAAAAUCAAGUCGUACAGACCAUAGCUCUGACUUUUUUUCUUGGGUCCUCAAAAUCAACUGGUGUAGUAUCUUCAUUAUGUUAUUUCAUUUGAAAAGCACUGAAAAUGCUGUGACAGGCAGAAGGUGAUAGGAUUUUUAGGAAUAUUUUUCCUGACGUUACUUGUAAAUUUUAAUGUCGGUGGGAUCUUAGCAGAAGUAGUUUAGAAGUAGUUGUAGUUUGGCCAGAUUGCAUGCUGCUUGGUCACAAUUUUAUGUUGUUGGAAUGUGUUUUGCCUGUGUAGAAGCGGAUAAUCAGCCUUGCUAACCAUAUGCCUAAAAAAUGUUAUCUAAUAACAGUACAUCCUUGGUUGUACUAAUGGGAUUAAAACUAUCUUGCAUACUUUUCAAGAGGCCUUUAUCCUGUGGAGACAUACACACUAAGGAGGGACAACCCUGCUAGCAGUUGUUAAAUUCACAUACCAUUUGCAACCUUUUCUAAUCAUACUCUUCCUAGGAAGCCCACCACAUUUGCCACAGUUUCCUUGGAAUGAGACCAAGUGUGCUUUAAAUUGAUACAAGCUUAUUUGAGAAAGUCUGUCAAAGCUGUCACCAGAAACCAAAAAUAGUUUCUUCAGACAGAAGGCUUGUUCCUUUCAUGAUUUUUUGCUAAGCAGAUGUGGCUUCAACCACUGUUUGAAUUUGUGUCUCACUUUCAGAGGUCAAGAAUGUUUCAAAACAGUUUUGACAUAAACUCCUCUCUGGUUUUUUCUCGUGGUUACCUUUCAAAAGACAGCCAACCUCUGUUGGUAUUUAAAUGGAAUUAAUCAGAAGAAAGAGGGACCUACGGGCCUUUCUAAAUCUCACCCAUUCCUCUGCUGUGAGAGCAGAGCUGUUGCAGCUGGAUUCCUGCAACUCCGGUGGCAAAGCACCCACCUGGAGUCUGUUCUCAGCUCAGCCACCAGAUCUGGCAGCUGGUCUCACAGCUCUAGACUUCUGUCUUUGCACCUGCAACAAGGCAGUAAAAAUCCUGACUUAAUGCAUAUUCUUAUUUCUAAUAUUGUUAUUUGUUAGUGUACGUAUGGCAGGUUAUUGAUGGCUUAAAGGAGCAUCAGCUGUUGUGACUGAGGUCUUUGGGGUGUUUUGCCAAACUACUGUAACAGCAUUGCGCAUAAAGCAACAAGAUUUUGCAUUUUUUUUGUGUCCUUAUAUGGACAGAUAGGUUGAUGACUUUCUAAUUCAUCAGUCUUGUUCUGUAAGGACAGCCACUGAACUUUUCUUUUUCAAGGAAGGUGGUGAGCAAAAGACAAUAAAAAACCACUAGCUGAUUUUCUUUUAGAUUGUGUUCCAUGCACGAUAGAGUUCAUGCUAUAUCUAAGCAUAGUUGUGUCUGUUUAUAAAUGAAAAUCUCUCAGAAACAUGAGAAAUGAAUUGAAACAUGAGAAAUUGAUUUUGUAAAAAUUAUCAGUCGUGAUUUUGCUUCUGCCCUGUACUGUAACUACUAUAACCUUAAUCCAUAAAUCCAGUCUUCUUUGGGAAAGUCUUAGCUGGUGUUAAUCACGAAAAUUAGAAAACUUGAAGUAUAAAAAGAUAAUGGAUUGCACCUACAAAUGUAUUCUUCAGUUCUAUAUGCAAACAAGCAGCUGCUCACAGAAAACUCUGUGUGAACACUGCAGUUUUAAUUUGUCAUCUUUGUUUUUCAGUGGCAUACCUUUAAUAUCACUUACAUUUCUGUGAAAAAUAUUUUUAUUACUUACCAGAAUUGUUUGCACUAUAAUGGAUUAUCUUUUUCCAUUUAAAAACACUAAAACAUUCUGUCUAUUAUCUCAUUUGUAGUACAACUUGGAAAAUGCAGGAAGGAUAUUGCAGUAUUCUCACGUGUGUCCGUUAUUCAUUUUCCUGCAGAGUAUUGGAAAUCUGUGUCAAAAUCCAUCUCUUUGGCUGACCUUUGGGAAGGCUCCGUUGAUGUGUUCUGGGAGGUUUCUGUCACUCACGGCCUGCUGUCCUUCUGUGUCAGAGGAAACCCAGUGUAAUGAGACAUGCUGCUAAGAAGGUUCUGGAGGAGGCUAGAGCACUCUUACUUGCAAUACCUGAGGAAUGUGCUUUUGUAGAACACUCAAAACGUACUUAUGAUUCUUCGGGCACAUAAGGCUGGACAGUCCAUUCACAGAUGGCCUUGAAGUCUUCAGCUUCUCUUGCAAGAUGAAAAUACAGCUCUCAGGAAGACAGCUCACAUCUAACAGGAGCCUGGGAAAGAGGCCCACUUUUUUUUUUUUUUUAAACUGUUUGCAAUACAGGCAGGAGAGCCGUAGUGCUGCUCAGAGGGAGAAUGUGCAACAGCAAUUCUUUGACAUGUGGUUGUCCUUCACAUUCUCUGAGUUUUUACUUAUUAGGCAGAAAAAGUGUUUCAUGGAGAUUCAUAGAAUGGCUCGUGUUGGAAGGGACCUCAAGGAUCAUCAAGCUCCAGUCCCCCUGCCGCAUGCAGGGCCACCAACCUCCAUAUCUAAUACUAGACAUAUAGACUUAUACAUACAGACUACACUAAGUAAUCUAUUAGAGCUUGAGAUAAUGGAAAGUCAUUUGGAAACUGGGAUCAAAUGAGAAAGUUGCACUUGGGCAAUGCAUAAUGUGUACAUGCUAAAGAUUGGUCAAGAUGAAUACUCUCAUCCAGAAGUCCUGUAGAUACAUCUUCACAAUGGGAAGUAUUCCACUGAAGCUACCUGUCCAUAUUAACAUGGCACAGAAUCCACAAAUGCUUCACUCCACUUCUCAGGCAAGCAGUGGAAGAAUUCUUGUAUCUUUCAUCUGUUGCUGCAAAGUGGUGCACAAGUCAAAAUCACAAUUGAAAAGUUAACAGUUGAUCAACCUUACUAUAAGCCUACUGAUACAAGAUCUGCAGAAAGGAAGGACUGGAUUAUUUGGGUGAAGAAAGCAAAAACAUUCAGAUCCUACAUCCAGAAGAAUUGCUGUUAAUGUUUACAGGUUUCAUGUAUGUUCUUUUGCCUGAGCUGUGCUUUGGGGUGCAUUGGCUCUUUUCUCUGGAGUAAAACAUGAAAAAUCUUCCUUUCUUUGGUGAUCUCCAGAGCUUUUUAAAGGUACGGUAGAACAAUAGUACUCUCACAGUAGUUUUAAUGGGACAGAAGUGUUGCUGUGUUGUCUUACAGAUUUUAUCAAAUUGUGCUUAGAAUUCAUUCAUUUUGAUCACUCAUAUUAUAGACAAAAUUCUUCUUGUAGGAUGUUUAUAUGUCCCAGAGCAUUCAUAAUGCACUGUGUUCAGCCAUCUACAAGCAUUUAAUUACAGACCGUCUGUUUCAUGUAAAAAAUAUUUGCCAAGACUCUUUUGGCAGAGUAAGGAGUGAACUUCGUAAAGGAAAACCAAGUUGCUCAUCGGUGGUGGCAGCAAAAAUGGGGAAAAGAACUACCCAAGAGUUUCUUGAAGAUUCCAGUUGAUGGAUCCUGGCCUGAUUGGGUCUCUUAUAUAAACCUUGAUGGAAUGGUGCUAAAUUUUGCAUGGAAACCUUUAUUUUUUUCCCCACUUCAACAACUGUAGCUGAAUGUACAUUUAAAAAUGGUAUUUGAAAAUUAAACUCAUAAGACAUCAUUAUACAAGACAUAAGCACAAACUUAGUACAGAAAGGGAGAAAGCAUCCAGUCUUUGAAAAUAAUGUUUGUGCCUUGUGCUUUUUUAAAACAUAAACAUAGAUUAUCAGCACGCUACUAAAGUGAGGCUGCAUCUCACCUUCCACAGUCUCACAGCAUAAAAAUAGCAUAUUUGAACUUACCAGAAGAUUGAUGUUUCUUUGCUUUCGUAUUACUUUUUCCUUUGUAUUUUAUGAAAAUGUAUGCCUUGCUGUCCAAUGUUGAAAAUAUCCACUGAGGUGAUUUUAAAGUUAAACCUGAAGAUUCAAGUUGGAAGUUACUGAAGGAUGAGUUUGGGUUUUUUCAAAGUGCUAUUAUUUUGACUCCUUGAGGGCUCCACAUGAAUACUUUACCUCUCCUUUUCUUUCUUUGGUUUGAGAUUCAUAACUGCAGCUGCUGUGCAAAGUAAAGUUUCCAUUGAGGACUAGCUGACCAAAUUUGUCAUGCUGAAAGUGAAAGUUGUAUCAGAAAGAGUGGGGUUUCCUUCAGUGCAGCAAGUCUGAGUACUGGAGCAGGUUCUAUUUCAGUCAUCCCUCCACUUCAGCAUAUAUCAACAGAUGGAAUCAGUGCAUCUUUUCUGUUGUACUUCAGCCUCCUACUCACUGACCACAGCAGGGACUAUGUCACGUCAUUGAGCACCAAGAGACACUGGAGAGAGGGAGUCCAACUGCCCACAGAGGCCCUGAGGUGCCUGGAGGAGGGAAACACCCCAGGGUAUCUCAUCUUCCUCCUCCACCCUCCUCCCAAAGCCAAAUGCCCAGAAUGUGCUGAGCUGAACUGAAACCCUGCCCUGUGGCCUUGGGGAGCAGUCAGCUAUGUGGCUGUAGACACCAUAUGCUGAGGGAGCACCACCUUCCUGCUUUCACUGGCAGAAGUGAGUUUCCCUUAAAAACCAGCAAAUUAUGCAGUUUCACACCUGACUCUUCAGUUGAGCAGGUGGAAAUGUCCUUUUCUGGGCCUCAACAGUAAAGGAGCCAAAGGCCAGGGGUCAGCUAUUAAGUUCAGCUGUUCCCUAUUGCAGGUUCAACUCAUGCUCCCUGGCCUGGCUGUGCUCUGAGGCACCUUGAGGCACUUGUGCCUUUGCGGUAUGAGCUCAUUUGUUGUCAUUUCCACUUUGGGGUGGGAAAAAAGGUCAUAAGAAGAGAUCAGUAAAUGUGCAGCAUUCAUAAAGCAAGGCCUCUUCAAAACAGACACGUUGCAGUGUUAUCAUAUCCAGGAAAACAGCAACAGACAGCGUAACUUUAAAAUACCACCCAGAAACUCUUGCUUGGAAAGGACAACUCACAGCAUCAAAGCCUGGACGUACUUGCCAAACCAUGCUUUAACUUACUGCCAAGACACCAGAUUUAUCCCCUUAGUAGCAAUGAUGCGCUAGGCAAGAUGGUGAUUGCUACAGCAAAGUGGGGAUGGGUUUGUUUCACAGUGGUCACGAUGACAGAAGGAGCCCUGCAGAUAUUAAUACUUGAUGAGAAAGGUACAUGAAAUUAGCCUGUGAACUGUUUGUGGAUAAAUAACUCUCAAGCAUACAAUAAGAAUUCAAGCAAAUUAAUUUAACAGCUAGAAGUCAAAUGUAAUGAAAAAAUAUUUAUGAAAAUUUUGUAUGUUUAGGUGAAUAGUUUCAAACCAAAAAUAAAUGAGAAAUAAAUACAGCCUAGUAGAAAUUGGACUGUGUUUAGAUUCUGAUAAUCUGAAAGGGCAUUUUUUAGCAUAAGGAUAAGUUCAGGUGAUUAUUUAAAGAAUAAGAUCAGAAUGGCUGUUCUUGACUUUAAUUUGGAGCCAAAAUAUUCUAUGUAAAGAACUUGUAAAAUCCAUGUCCCCUUUAGUUCUACAGUCAGUAAUUACUCACAGGAUAGAGUAUUCAGAUUUAUGAGGAAGAAGGAGAGAGUGGCAGUAAGUUGUUACUUCUAUUUCCAGCCAAUGUUUGCAAAUUCAAUGGCAAUAACAAACCAAAAACCUGACUUUCUCCCUUCAAACCGCUCUAUAUCUGUGGUCAAAAAUGUAUAGCUAUGUUUUACAUCUUUUUUAGCACAUAAACAUUUAAGGAUACUUACCUCAACCACACGACAAUUUUCUGAGCCUUGCAAGUCUUACAAAUCCCUAAUCACAGUUGGAUGUAUUCAGUAAUGUAGAAUUAAGGAGUAACAGCUGAAAUGCACCUGGGUUAGGUGGCUACUGAGGUUAUAUGGUGUCGAAAUAAUAAGGUGUGGGUCUGGUUAGAGAGGGACCAGGCAUCUGUUCCCACCUCAGCUACAACUUCCCAUACUAGUACUCAUAUUGAGUACUGAGUAUUAUAGUACUGAGGAUUAUAGCACUAGUGAUUGUGCUAUAACAGUGAUUGUGAUUACUGAGGUAAUCUAAACAGAGAACUUUGCUUCUCUGGAAGUGGAGAAUAACUACUGUAUUUUAGUGACAUGCUGAUGGAACCUCAGUUUGGAUGUCCAAAGAUGUAGUUCCUGGCUGAUGCAUAUACAAGUAAAUUGUUACUGACUUAAUUUUGUCUUAAUGGGAUUCUUUUGUUGACAAGGUAAAUUUGUGACUUCUGAGCCGAGAAUUGUCUUUAGCUGGUGACAGCUUUCAUUUAGAGCAAGCAUUAUACUUAUUACCAUGACAGAGGCCCUUAAACAGGAAGAUGGAUAAAUUCUACUAGCAAGGAAUGGUAGCUGGCCUCUUGAUAACAUAUGGCAUAGCAUUGAACAACUUCCUGGAAACCUUAGCAGUGCAGAGGUUUGAAAGAACUGGACUGGCCUGCAGUUCAUAAACAUCAUAGGCUGAAUAAGCUGCUUCUAACUGCAUCAGAAACUUUUGCUCAUAUAUUUAGACUUUGCUUCUAGAACUAAAAGUGCUAAAAAGUGGCAAGACUAAAAAGGCAGCACAGCAAUAAAAAUUCCAUUUUGACUCUGGGGAGAGCCUCAGAGAUGUUGUGGUCAGAAUUUUCUCCAUUAUUUGCAAGUUCUCAAAGAAGAAUUUUCUUCAUUCUGGAUUAGCCUUUUGCAAAAUCUAUUAAGACUUUUAAUUUCAUUUAAAAAUAUUCUUAUGUUUUGAAACUUAGUCUGCAGGAAGUUUAACCAGACCUUAAUUAAGGACUCUGAGUGUGACAGAAGCUUGUGUAUCAACAAGGUGCUUUGCUUGUCUGCCCAAUAAAAAUACAAGGAGUAAUGCCAGUUUGGGGAGUAAGCAGAGCAGAAGCGAAGCAGGGAGGGGGGCACAAAUUAUGAGCUGCUUUGGUCUCCAUUGUCAGGAAGUACUUCACCACUUCCAUUGCCUCACUACAUCUCUUCUAUUAGAAAGCCUUUAUAAAUUACAGGAAUAAGUGGCCCUUAGCAAAUAACUUCAAAACAGAGCAACUAAAUAGGACUGAAGGAGAAUGGGAAACUCCAUUCUGCUACUGCUAAAGCAGAUAGUUCUGAGCUGCUGGCAUUUUUUCCCCCUCUCAGCUCAGGAUGAAAGACAAAAAUGUUAAUUUCCACAAAUUGAAAAUCUGAAAAAUGUGAGCUGAGGUCAGCUGGAACAUUUCGUUUCUAUAAUUUUGUAAUAUCUUUUGACAAUGCUGAUCUGUCUUUAAUCAUUUUAUGCCUAAAUUUGCUAAGAUUUCAAAAUUUUAAGAAGUUCCAGCUUGAAGGAAACAAAAGCUUUCUAACUCAAAAUGUUGAAGAAAGACUAUAUUUUAAUGUUUUCAAAAAAUAAAUAAAUCAAGGAGCAAUAGGAAAUUGAGCCUUUUCUUAGCCAUUAGUCUGAGUCAUAACAGAGAUCGGUAACAAAUGCUGUGUAUUUCAGUAGGAGAGCACUCCAGUGACUAACUUUUUUUCCUAUCCGGUUGACUGCAGUGACAUUUGGGUCAGGCCUACUAAGAUGGUUCUCCUAACUGUGCCAGUGCCAGAAAAAUGCUUGCAUGCUGAUAAGUCAAUGGAACAUCAAAGAGAAAUAUUCAUUUUUGUAGUCAAGAACAAGAUAUUUGAUGGUGGAACUAAUCCCUUGGCAAUAAAAAAUUUCCUUUACAGUCAAUUCUAUGAUUAAGCCAAAGCCACUGCUUUGUUCCUCCACCUGUCCCCGUGAGUCAGCAACGCUUUCCUCUUGCUUUUCCUCCAAGUCAGAUGACAGUGCCUCUCCUGGGCUGCAGACGCACAAGUGUUUUGCCUACAGUUAUGACUUGUUUAGCUUUUGCAGUGUUGGCAGCCUCUCUGAGCUCUGGCACACUUUCUACCAAAUGGGAGAGUCUGGAGGGGGCAGUUUAUUUCUCAUACUGAUCGUGGUUUUGUUACUCUAAAAAUCAGGAGUUUGAAAAUCUCAUCACAACCAUUCGUAAUUUGCUUAGAACUGUAACAAAAAUGCUAAGUUUCAUCCUUAAAAGAGAAGUACUGAAAUGUUUAAGAUUUAAUCCCAUGGGAUUUUAAAAUAUAUAUAAUAGUAAUAGUAUAAUAGACAUCUUUGGGCCAAAUUAGCUCAUUGCAUUUGUCCCUUACCUGCAACUCUGAUGGGCACAAAGACAUGUCCACUUGGUAGUGUUGUACAUGUGAGUUACGCUGUUGUAACAUCUCUCUGAAAAGAGAUUCUUUUUUUGCAAGGACACCUUUGAAAUUCCAUCUCGUCAGUGUGUAAAGUUAUAACAGGAGCAAGAUGUUGUCCUCAAGUACCAGGCUGAGAGAUUAAUUCAAAUUUUGUUGCACUUUUGCUCUGAGUUAAGGUCAAUUGCAUGAAUGAACUUAAUAUUUAGUUUCCAUACAGGCAGAUCUAUAAUUCACUAUAUAUGCUUUAGCAUAUAUCAUAACUACAUUUUGCCUCUGAUUCUCUAUACUGAGGUAAGUAUUUGGUGGCAUUUGCCAGAUGUUCUUUCGAAGCCAAUGUGAAUAUCAACAACAUGAAGUAAGAGGUGCCACCUGUACCAGUGUCAUGCCAGGCCAGGCAGUGUGCUUCCCACCUAAUCACAGAGAGAAAGAAUCUGUGUGACUCAGAGCAGGCAAAGGAAAAUAAAUGUCAGACCUCUGGACUGAGAGCUCAGCUUGCCAGAGAGGAGGGUUGUUGGAGCCAGUGAACUCUCCAUUGCCUUACUUACUGGCUUUCAGGUCAGUGAUUUUUGUCCCCAUGGCAUCCAUCUCCCCCACAGAAACAAAAUUCUGCAUUUCACUGUUACUGCUUUGGUAAUAGCAACUGGACUGACCACUCUGAGGUAUGUUGUUGCUCAUACAGCCAGUAAACAUGGCAGUAAACAGGCCAACACAAAACACAGAAGAGUAUACAUAUCUCUGAGUGUGUUCAUACACAAACUUAAAACUGACUCCUCUCAUGCCAUAAUGAUGAGCAACAUAUUCUGACCAUUCCUUUCCCAUGCAGGCUUAGCCUGGCUGAUCUGUGUACUCAGCACUGAAACCUACACUUUUCCCAGGACCCAUCAGGUCAGACUGCUCAUAAACCAGUGCUUCUUUGAUGGCCCUCAUCCUGCUUUCAAUUGAUGUGGCAGUGCGUGAAUACAUAUGACCGAAAGCUUGAUAUAAAAUUCAUUUGUCUAAACACCACCUAUUUAUGUUUGAUGGCCUGAACAAUUAUUAAUCCUGAUUGGAAAUAUAAGUCAUUGUGUGCACAGUGUCCUGUCACAGCAUCCCUGUUAGCUCCCCUGAGGCCAAAUUCUCUGACAAUGCACACAGUGUCCGGUUCUUUCUGCACACAGCACCAUGCCCUUGCUGAAAUCCCAGGCAGGAAACCUCUUUUUCUGUAUGCUCACCAGUGUGGAUGAUCCCCAGGAAUUUCCCGGGUCUGCCAUUGUAUAUCCCACAAGACAAGAGACAGGCCUUGCACCGCUGUGCCCAACAGUUUCCAUAUUCUCACAUACUGUUCAAAAAUGCCAUAACACAUGCAACCUCAGUGAGCAUUGCAUGUGUCCUUCCUGCCAGGACAUGAGCUCCCACACAGACCUGUGCCUGGGGAGAGCUCUGAAGGAAACAGAGUCUUCUUUAACCCACUGUGAGAGCGGUAAGUACUAGAGCUGCUGCAGGCCUGCUCCUUGGUGGUAUAAUCCCUCUUUGCUUCCCUCUAAUCUCUGAAAUUCUCACUCUUAUUAAAGGACUCUGCUCCUCCUCUGCCAACAAAAUACCAAGUUCAAGGCUUCCAGAUAAGCUACAUCUGCCAAGCAAGCAGUCACAUAUAUGAAACCUAACACAGCAGGACCUACCAAUCGAUGCCUUGCUGGCUGCAUCUAGUAUGCACAUGCACCCGGUGCUCUUUUGUCAGCAGCUGUUCUACACAGCCACCCCCAGCCUCUGCACAGCCCACAGAAAUACAGAUAUUGGCCUGGGCUGUGGCAGUAUUUAUUUGCCUCAUCUGUCACAUCCUCUUUUAUUUUUCUGAUUCUACAAGAAAUGUGUGUCCUUGAUUUGUUAUUGGAAAUCUCUUUCUGAGUGAAUAAGAGGCAGAAGGAGAGAAGAGAGACCACAGAGCACUGUGGAUUAGACACUGUUCAAAGGCACGUUGAGCAGAAUGCAGCACAGACACCCCUGAGAAAAUUGCAUAGAUGAUUUUUGGGUCUUCAGAGUGGAUCAAACCAGGGUAAUCCUCUGUUCCCUCUUGCUCAUUCCAGGAGCAUUGUAGGGAACAACCUACCAGGGGAUUGCAGUAGUGACAAAAUCAACAGACCGAUUUUGAAUGUUCAGUCUUGUAGAAGAAUCGUCAGUUCGAGUAUCUUCAUUUUAACUUCAGUCCGAUGUGCCAUUAUCCAUUAGAUGACAACAUUGCCGUACAUACAAAAAAAUCAAGGCUGUUCUGUUUUCUUUAAUGCUGAAUGAGUUAGAAAUGCAGUGUAAGGCUAUAACUAAUAUUCUAGUGCUGGUAGCUAAAAUUCCUGCAUGUUAAUCCAAAAAGGGCUAUAAUAAACAUUUACCUAGACCACCUACCUGAAAACAAGCACAAACUGAAUGAAGGGGCACUGUACCUCUGGCUAGAUAUUCCUGUAUCACCUCUUUCAAUGAUGCAAAAUUGAGAAUACAUCAGUUCUGUCACCCAGCAAAAGCCACAUGCACUGUCAGUUGAUACUCUUGCAUUUCUUACACAAUGAACUGCAAUGACACUUUUACUUUCUGUACAGUGAAUCAAUACAAGGGUAUAACCUCUUACCAACACAAUUCUAGAGAACUGAGAAACUUACUUUCUAUUCGAAGAGUAGGUUAUAUUUCCCUAAAGUCUGAAUGAAAAUGCAUACAUAUUUCCCGCCCCCCCCAGCGCACUCAUUUACUUAAGUUUUCCCCAAGCAAAACAAAAAUAAUGAAGUAAAUUCCUUAAAGGUAAUACUGAAUCAAUCAGAAACACCAUGUUAAAUGAUUAAUACUAGGUAAAAUAUGUGCAAUCAAUAAGAUUAUUUAAAACUGAAUUUAUAGUGAGGUAGAAGGUUGGUGGGGCUGUUUAUUUUGCUUCCUUUUUUUUUUUUUGUGGCAUUAGUGGAUUUUGCUUUUUUUUUUUUUUAAUUUUCAUUUCAGAAAUGGAAUAGUCUGUUUGGUGAACUUACUCAAUUGCUCCUGAAAAUCAUUUGUCAGUGAAAGGAGUAAUGGGAACAUAAUAGCUAAGCCCUCAAAAGUUCAGCUGGAUUAAAAGCAAUUUGAAAUCUUUUUGGGAACUAAAAUAAAGUUAUUUGCAGAUGGACUUCAUUAGAAAAACUGGUGGCAAGAAUUACUUCACAUCUCUAAAUGUGUCUAGCCAAUAUCCCCUAUGCCUUAAUAUUUUCAGUAUCAGAGAUGAACGCUUUCUUUGUGGUCAUCUGCUUGCUUUAAGGAAAUACCAUACAUUCACAUGCGCAUAUUUACACACAUAUGGAUAAACCAUAUAUAUGUAUGCAUACAUACACACAGUAUUUUUUAAUGUAAGUAGAUGACUGUGUACAUAAAGAGAUUUUCAGAAAUUUGUUUGAGAAUGAGCUACACUUGAUGCUAAGAAACAUACUGGUCCUAAACAUUUUUUAUUUUUUGAAAGCUGCACUUCAGAAAGAUAACAUCUUCUUUUAUACUAUUCUGAUAAUGUAAAUUAAAUAUUGCUAUUGCAAAAGUAUUUUCCUGCUGCGUAUGAAAUGGAUGCACCUUGGAGAACAUAUCUGCCUCCACGUCACUCCAGUACUUCCAGUUAGCUACAGUACCACACACAGGCAGGGAGUUAGGUGUAUAGCUAUCCAGACUGCAUAUAUUAUCUGAUUGGCAUGUCCACUUGCUCCUUUACUGCCAUAAAUGAGUGGCUGUGCAGGUGCCAUUAGCACAUGCAUCUUUUUCUGAAUGCGCCAU